rnacentral:lncRNA from 1 species
CCUUAUUCCACUCACUCCCCAUUUAUGGGAUAGAAGUUUUAAUUUAGGCGCAGCAAUCUGUCUGAGAAUAAUAAAAUUUAAAUCACUUGUACCCUAGCUUGCUCAUUAGGCAUAGGUAAACUAUGUUCUACCAUAGUUACCAUGGUAAACCAGACAAAUUGAACAGAUAGAAGUUAACUUCCUGGUCUGCUCAUGAUGUAGGGUGGCUCUACAAGAGAUGUUGCCAAUCCAGGAUAGUGGCUUGAGGAUUUUUUCUAGGGGAGAGUGAGGCCAUAACAACAGAAAGUUCCCAAAACUCCCCAACAUCCCUGACUUUAUUUGAGAAGAACUUGGAAGAAAUUCAAGCCCCCAAAUACUCCUGAAAACAGUAGAAAUUUUGCUAACUACAAAGGGGACGAUAACUCUAUGGGGGCAACAGUUGACCACAGACCAGCCAGGUCAGAAGAAUGACUCAAAGAAAUACCUAAUAACUCUCCUGGGGGCAGAACAAAUCUCAAAGACUAGGCAUAAAAAUUACUCCUGAAAGGAGGUGUGCAUUUAAUUGGAUUAGAUUGUGAACAGAUUCAUGCCCUAGAACAUUGCUGAAAACAAUAGAGGAACGAUCAAGCAAGUGGUGGAGUCUAAUAGUUGACUGUAAUUCCAAUAAAGGCAGACUGGCUUAAUAGAAACAUCAAAACUAGAUACAAGGAGAGCCCUGUUAAUAUCACUGUGGUUCCAGGAUGACUGU